CUCCGCAGAUGUGAUAAAAACAGAGGCAUUUGCAAACAUGCGCCAAUUAAAUGUGCUCCUGCUCAAUGAUGUUAAGCUUGAUGGAGGAUAUGAAGAUUUUCCAAAACACUUGGUGUGCUUGCGUUGGCUCAGAUUCCCUUUGAACUCUAUGCCAACGUGUUUAAAUGUGGAGAAACUUGUUGUUCUUGAUAUGCGGUAUAGCAGGCUAAAACAUGCUUGGCAGGGAAAGUCCUUUCCAUGCUUGAAGAUCCUUGACCUAAGUCACUCUCAUUUACUCACUACAACCCCUGACUUCACGGGACUACCUGGUCUUGAGAGUUUGCUGCUGAAAGAUUGUAUAAAUUUAGUCAAGAUUGACAAAUCUAUUAGAGUCCUAAGGGGACU
rnacentral:misc_RNA from 1 species